ACUUCCUGCUUCUCCAAUGAGGGGAAGCAGGUACAGGAGGCAAUAUCAGUGUUGGGAAGAAACCAGAUGGUCCUAAACAAGAUCAUGGAAUAAACAGUGUUAUUCUUUUGCAUCAUAUUUGUGUCCUUAUCUCUGCUGACCUGGGGGAAAACCUUGCCUCUCUGCUGGGGUGAGGUUCAGCAGGAAAUUAUUUCCAGAAGAGGACCAUUCUACUGUACAUCAAGACACUCUUGAGAAGCCCUAAACACCAUGGCUGUAUAAUACAGAUAUAUCUUAUGAAGAGCAUUUGUCUGGAUAAGAAAUAUAUCAGAAUUACCUGCUCAGUUACAUUUCUGAAUACAGAGAAGGAUCAAGCACUGCGU